UAAUUAUAAAAACACUACCAACCCCUGCCAUUGAUUUCUAAGGAAAGAGAUAUCCAUUCCUUUUUUGGCGACCAGGAAAACAGGUGGCGCAUGGUGGUCGUCAGUUCGUGUCUUGAGAUGUGGGGUUAAGUCCCGCAACGAGCGCAACCCCUAUCUUCUGUUGCCAGCAGUUAAGCCGGGGCAUUCUGGGGAGACUGCCGGGGCAAACCGGGAGGAAGGGGGGGAGGAGGUCAAUUCUUCAUGCCCCUUAGGUCUGGGGCUACACACGUGUUCCAAUGGUCUUAACAGAGGGAAGCGAAGGCGCGAUCCGGAGCAAACCCCAAAAACAGAGUCCCAGUUCGGAUUGCAGGCUGCAACUCGCCUGCAUGAAGUAGGAAUCGCUAGUAAUCGCAUUCAG
rnacentral:rRNA from 1 species